rnacentral:rRNA from 1 species
UACGUAGGGUGCAAGCGUUGUCCGGAAUUAUUGGGCGUAAAGAGCUCGUAGGCGGUCUGUCGCGUCGGCUGUGAAAACUCGGGGCUCAACCCCGAGCCUGCAGUCGAUACGGGCAGACUAGAGUGCUGUAGGGGAGACUGGAAUUCCUGGUGUAGCGGUGAAAUGCGCAGAUAUCAGGAGGAACACCGGUGGCGAAGGCGGCAUCCUGGACUGGUCCUGACACUCAGGAGCGAAAAGCGUGGGGGAGCGAUCCGGG